rnacentral:rRNA from 1 species
CGGGACGCAGCAGUGGGGAAUCUUGCGCAAUGGGCGAAAGCCUGACGCAGCAACGCCGCGUGCGGGAAGAAGGCCCUCGGGUUGUAAACCGCUUUCAGCAGGAACGAAAAUGACGGUACUUGCAGAAGAAGGUGCGGCCAACUACGUGCCAGCAGCCGCGGUGACACGUAGGCACCAAGCGUUGUCCGGAUUUAUUGGGCGUAAAGCGCUCGUAGGCGGUUCGGUAAGUCAGGUGUGAAAACUUGGGGCUUAACCCCAAGCCUGCAUCUGAUACUGCCGUGACUAGAGUUCGGUAGGGGAGUGGGGAAUUCCUAGUGUAGCGGUGAAAUGCGCAGAUAUUAGGAGGAACACCGGUGGCGAAGGCGCCACUCUGGGCCGAUACUGACGCUGAGGAGCGAAAGCGUGGGUAGCAAACAGGAUUAGAUACCCCCGU